rnacentral:rRNA from 1 species
GGUGAAGAGAAGCUUGCUUCUUGGAUCAGUGAGCGAACGGUGUGAGUAACACGUGAGCAAUCUGCCCUUGACUCUGGGAUAAGCGUUGGAAACGACGUCUAAUACCGGAUACGACCCUCGGAGGCAUCUCCUGGGGGUGGAAAGAAUUUUGGUCAAGGAUGAGCUCGCGGCCUAUCAGCUAGUUGGUGAGGUAAUGGCUCACCAAGGCGACGACGGGUAGCCGGCCUGAGAGGGUGACCGGCCACACUGGGACUGAGACACGGCCCAGACUCCUACGGGAGGCAGCAGUGGGGAAUAUUGCACAAUGGGCGAAAGCCUGAUGCAGCAACGCCGCGUGAGGGACGAAGGCCUUCGGGUUGUAAACCUCUUUUAGUAGGGAAGAAGCGAAAGUGACGGUACCUGCAGAAAAAGCACCGGCUAACUACGUGCCAGCAGCCGCGGUAAUACGUAGGGUGCAAGCGUUGUCCGGAAUUAUUGGGCGUAAAGAGCUCGUAGGCGGUUUGUCGCGUCUGCUGUGAAAACCCGAGGCUCAACCUCGGGCCUGCAGUGGGUACGGGCAGACUAGAGUGCGGUAGGGGAGAUUGGAAUUCCUGGUGUAGCGGUGGAAUGCGCAGAUAUCAGGAGGAACACCAAUGGCGAAGGCAGAUCUCUGGGCCGUAACUGACGCUGAGGAGCGAAAGCAUGGGGAGCGAACAGGAUUAGAUACCCUGGUAGUCCAUGCCGUAAACGUUGGGAACUAGAUGUGGGGACCAUUCCACGGUCUCCGUGUCGCAGCUAACGCAUUAAGUCCCCCGCCUGGGGAGUACGGCCGCAAGGCUAAAACUCAAAUGAAUUGACGGGG